UACGUAGGGGGCAAGCGUUGUCCGGAUUUAUUGGGCGUAAAGAGCGUGUAGGCGGCCAGAUAGGUCUGCUGUGAAAACUCGAGGCUCAACCUCGAGCUGUCGGCGGAAACCAUCUGGCUAGAGUCCGGAAGAGGAGAGUGGAAUUCCUGGUGUAGCGGUGAAAUGCGCAGAUAUCAGGAAGAACACCUAUGGCGAAGGCAGCUCUCUGGGACGGUACUGACGCUGAGACGCGAAAGCGUGGGGAGCGAACAGG
rnacentral:rRNA from 1 species